rnacentral:rRNA from 1 species
AUGAUCUUGCGUGAUCACAACGGUAAUAUAGUCCUCAGUGCUUGUCAUCAUCUGUACCAUCGCCUCAAUGCUUUAGAGUCUGAACUUGCAGCCAUCAGAGAGGGUCUGUCACUUGCUUUACAAUGGAGCGAGCUACCUAUAGACAUUGAGUCCGAUUGCUUGGAGGCUAUCAAUCUGUUGAAGAAGGGAGAAAUGGAUAGAUCUGCGAACAGUUUCAUGGUUCAUGAAAUCAAAAUACUCAUGGAUCAACGAAAUUCUUGUAUUACUCACAUUUAUCGUAGUCAAAACAAUGUAAGCCAUUUGUUGGCAUCUUUUGGUAAGACAAAUUUUUGUGUGAGGUUCGUUUUAAUUUUCAAAUCAUUUCGACACCUGAGCAGCUCUCAGCAAAAAAGACAAAUUCGGGGUCUGUAA